AUAAAGUGGUACAAUAUGCACCAAAAUGAUUAAUUAAAUACUCAUAUCAUGUAUAUUAUGUUUACACGUGUCGCCAAAAUUAAUAUAAUUCAAUAGAAAUUUACCAUAAUUUCUCUAUAGAAUCUUUAUCUGCAGAUGAUAGAUACGUGUCUAUCUUCCCAUCCUACAAUCCCCAUUAUCCCCUUCCUAACAUUUCUUGGAUACCCCCUCCUUUUUGCACUUCCCCUACUCACCUACUUAUCCUCUGCCUUUGUUAUAACAAUCAUUAUUAUUUUACAACGUACCAAGUGAACAUCUAUAGUUUGGACCUGAGUUCUCUUGUGCAAAAUUUGUUCAAUUUGUGUUGCUUUAUCUAUAUAGCUUUUUAUAUUAAUUAAGUAUUCGUCGAUUCGUUUUUAAAUGGAUUGCAACCAAUUUUCCAGAUUUAACGCCGUUUUUAACAGUUUUUAUACUUUGAUGUUACGCUAUAAAUGUAAAAAGAAAUUCUGACCCGCACAGAAAAGUCGUGGCUGCCUUCAUUAACUUUAAACGACAACCGUUUUUUUUUUACUACUGAAGAAACAAAAAUAUUGAGAUCGAGAAUACGUCUUCCAGUACGAUGUACAAUGGAUAGUAAAUGGAAUACGUAAAAUAGCUCCAUGUGAUCAAGAUAUACAGACAAGAGAGAUAUGGCCUAGGUUGUCCAAGUGGAUAUUCGAACAAACUUAAAAUUGCAGGACGAGCUGAUGAUCAAUAAUGGUGCCAGUGCUGUUUGUUACGUCUUUGUCAUAGUUUCCAGAUCGUUGGCUAGUAAUUUGAAUUAGUUUUUGGUGCACGAGACACAAACGUUUUAAUAUUUUUUAUAAGAAUUUCAGAAAUAGUUUUUGCAGAUACUCUAGAAACUUUGUGAGAAUUACACUGUAAUUCUCUGUAAUUCACUGUAAAAUAUGUACAUUAAUAGAUAAUGUAUGUAUAAUAUAUGCCGUUCAACCAGCAAGUAUUAAACGACAGACUAAACGCAUAGAUAAUUUAGAUUAGAUUGUCUUUCUUUUCGCGGAAUUAUCUAUACAUACGUAUUAUUACAAAGCCAUAGAGACAUAAUAUUGC